rnacentral:tRNA from 2 species
AGUAGAAUGGCUGAGUAAUAGGUGAUAGAUUGUAAAUCUAUUAAGGAGUUCAAAACUCUUCUACUA